CAGCCGCCGCGGUAAGACAGAGGAUGCAAGCGUUGUUCGGAAUUAUUGGGCGUAAAGGGUGCGUAGGCGGUCUGACAAGUCUUAUGUGAAAUCUCUGGGCUCAACCCAGAGUCUGCAUGGGAAACUGUCGAGCUUGAGUAUGGGAGAGGUGAGUGGAAUUUCCGGUGUAGCGGUGAAAUGCGUAGAUAUCGGAAGGAACACCUGUGGCGAAAGCGGCCCACUGGACCAUUACUGACGCUGAUGCACGAAAGCUAGGGGAGCAAACAGGAUUAGAUACCCCGGUAGUCCCUGUCUCUUAUAC
rnacentral:rRNA from 1 species